AGGACGAACGCUGGCGGCGUGCUUAACACAUGCAAGUCGAGCGGAAAGGCCCUUCGGGGUACUCGAGCGGCGAACGGGUGAGUAACACGUGAGAAACCUGCCCUGGACUUUGGGAUAACCCUCGGAAACGGGGGCUAAUACCGAAUACGACCUUCAACCGCAUGGUUUGUUGGUGGAAAGUUUUUCGGUCUGGGAUGGUCUCGCGGCCUAUCAGCUUGUUGGUGGGGUAAUGGCCUACCAAGGCGACGACGGGUAGCC
rnacentral:rRNA from 1 species